rnacentral:lncRNA from 1 species
GUGGGCGGUGCCGAAUUCGUUUUGCAGAUGAAGAAAUGGACUCUCACCGAGAGUGUCCCUGGAAGUCCCAGAACUAUCUGAGGAAAUGAGAUUAAAGGUAAUAUUCACAGCCAUUUGAAGAUAUUUGAAUAAGAGGGCACACACUUGUCAAAUGAGAACCCCAGCCUGCUUUCUGGGACUGCAAGACUGCUGACAGCAAAGGGAUGAGAGACAGGAGGGGCUUGCUGUUGCUGACCUCAUGGACAAGAGCCACCUUCCCGUGCACAAGGAGACCUGCUGAGUGCCAACCAUCCUCAGGUACUAGGGUUCAGUCAGAUUCAAGACUGUCAUCAGGAAGCCCACAGAAGAGUAGAUGGAGACCCAAGUAAACAAGAAAUGAAAUAGGAACAGAUUGUGGUUGCCAGGCAAGACCCAGCCCUCAGAGGGCUUGUGCUUCUGCUGCGGGCUGAUUAACGGUUAUUGGGCAAAGGAUAAAGCAUCCAGACGGCACAGGCCUCCGGUGAAGGUGCUUACACAUUUAAUGAGCACCGGGUGACAUGCUAGUGGUGAGCGGCAAUCUUUUGUAAAAAGUGAUUUUAAGGAUCCAGGCUCCCAUCCUACUUUCAUCUCCUCUCCCAUUAGGACCAGAGUGGGCUAACUCCAUGCUCUGGCCGGGUACUUUGUUCUGCUCCUUUAUGAGCCACCCCCGCCUUCUCCACGAAGCCUCCAACUACAGCACUAGGGGCUACUGUUUCUGCUUAAAUCUGACCUGGAAACUGAAAGCAUGGGGCUGAAAAUGAACUCUCUCAGCUUGCGCAUCCAGAAAAUGGGAAUGGGAAGAAUAAGAAACUGGCCUCAUGAGUAAAUGGGACUGGAGGCAUCAAAGCAUGUUCACGGCCAUUAUCUUACUUGAUCCUCAUUCAAAAUUGGGUGUGCCAGGGGUGCCUGGUUGGCUCAGUCGGUUAAGCACCCGACUGCGGCUCAGGUCAUCAUAUUGUGGUUUGUGGGUCUGAGCCCCGCAUCGGGCUGUGUGCUGACAGCUCAGAGCCUGGAGCCUGCUUCAGAUUCUGUGUCUCUCUUGCUCUCUGGCCCUCCCCCGCUCACGUUCUGUCUCUCUCUGUCUCCCAAAAAAUAAAUAAAC